rnacentral:rRNA from 1 species
GAUGAACGCUGGCGGCGUGCCUAAUACAUGCAAGUCGAGCGAACAGACGAGGAGCUUGCUCCUCUGACGUUAGCGGCGGACGGGUGAGUAACACGUGGAUAACCUACCUAUAAGACUGGGAUAACUUCGGGAAGCCGGAGCUAAUACCGGAUAAUAUAUUGAACCGCAUGGUUCAAUAGUGAAAGACGGUUUUGCUGUCACUUAUAGAUGGAUCCGCGCCGCAUUAGCUAGUUGGUAAGGUAACGGCUUACCAAGGCAACGAUGCGUAGCCGACCUGAGAGGGUGAUCGGCCACAACGGGACUGAGACAAGGUCCAGACUCCUGAGGGAGGCAGCAGUAGGGAAUCUUGCGGAAUGGGCGAAAGCCUGACGGAGGAAAGGCGCGUGAGUGAUGAAGGUUUUCGGAUCGUAAAACUCUGUUAUUAGGGAAGAACAAAUGUGGAAGGAACUAUGGACGUCUUGACGGUACCUAAUCAGAAAGCCACGGCUAACUACGUG